rnacentral:miRNA from 14 species
UGUGCAUGUGUCUGUGUAAGUGUGUGUGCAUUUGCAUGUGUGUGCAUGUGUAUGCAUGUGUGUGUGCAUGUGUGUCUGUGUGUGUCUCUGUGUGUGUGCAUGUGUGUGCAUGUGCAUGU